rnacentral:rRNA from 1 species
UACGGAGGGUGCAAGCGUUGUCCGGAUUUAUUGGGUUUAAAGGGUACGUAGGCGGGCCGUUAAGUCAGUGGUGAAAGCCCAUAGCUCAACUAUGGAAAUGCCAUUGAUACUGGAGGUCUUGAGUUCAGUUGAGGUAAGCGGAAUUUAUGGUGUAGCGGUGAAAUGCAUAGAUACCAUAAAGAACACCGAUUGCGAAGGCAGCUUACUGGGCUUGAACUGACGCUGAGGCACGAAAGCGUGGGGAGCGAACAGG